rnacentral:rRNA from 1 species
GGGUGAGUAAUGUCUGGGAAACUGCCUGAUGGAGGGGGAUAACUACUGGAAACGGUAGCUAAUACCGCAUACCAUCGGAUGUGCCCAGAUGGGAUUAGCUAGUAGGUGGGGUAAAGGCUCACCUAGGCGACGAUCCCUAGCUGGUCUGAGAGGAUGACCAGCCACACUGGAACUGAGACACGGUCCAGACUCCUACGGGAGGCAGCAGUGGGGAAUAUUGCACAAUGGGCGCAAGCCUGAUGCAGCCAUGCCGCGUGUAUGAAGAAGGCCUUCGGGUUGUAAAGUACUUUCAGCGGGGAGGCGUUACCCGCAGAAGAAGCACCGGCUAACUCCGUGCCAGCAGCCGCGGUAAUACGGAGGGUGCAAGCGUUAAUCGGAAUUACUGGGCGUAAAGCGCACGCAGGCGGUUUGUUAAGUCAGAUGUGAAAUCCCCGGGCUCAACCUGGGAACUGCAUCUGAUACUGGCAAGCUUGAGUCUCGUAGAGGGGGGUAGAAUUCCAGGUGUAGCGGUGAAAUGCGUAGAGAUCUGGAGGAAUAC